AAGCCUAGAGAAGGGGGAACAGAUUUGAUUUGUGUACUCCGGCCCACGGCCGAAAACUCAACUCCCUCCCUAUAUAGUUGGAGAAGAAACAGGGGACUGUCAGCAUCAUGGAAGAUGAGGAAGGUGACACUUUCUGUCCUACCAACAGCAGCCCAGCAUUCCCUAAGAAUGAAAGCCGCAACCAGAUCUAUAAAGGAAAUUACACCUUCUCCUCCUACUAUCAGCAUUCUUCUCCAGUGGCUGCCAUGUUCAUUGUUGCCUAUGUCUUUAUCUUCUUCAUGUGCAUGGUUGGCAACAUGCUGGUAUGCUUCAUUGUGCUAAAGAACCGGCAGAUGCGAACUGUCACCAACAUAUUCAUCCUCAACCUGGCUAUCAGUGAUGUCUUGGUGGGGAUCUUCUGCAUGCCAACCACCCUGGUGGACAACCUGAUUACAGGCUGGCCAUUUGACAUUAUCAUGUGUAAAAUGAGCGGGCUGGUCCAAGGGAUGUCUGUCUCAGCAUCAGUCUUCACUCUGGUGGCCAUUGCAGUGGAAAGGUUCCGUUGUAUAGUGUAUCCAUUCAGACAGAAACUAACCCUAAGGAAAGCUCUGAUCACCAUUGUAAUUAUUUGGGUCUUAGCCUUAAUCAUUAUGUGCCCCUCUGCAGUCACACUGACUGUCACCCGGGAUGAGUACCACUUCAUGCUAGAUGCUUACAACAAUUCCUACCCACUCUAUUCCUGCUGGGAGGCAUGGCCAGACAAGGAGAUGCGCAAGAUCUACACAACUGUUCUUUUUUCUCAUAUUUACCUUGCUCCUCUCACCUCCAUUGUCAUAAUGUACACUCGGAUUGCCUUCAAACUCUUCAAAUCAUCUGCACCCAUUGGAUGCUCCCAGUCGGAGGAGGGUCAUGAGGGGAGGAGGGUGUCCAAGAGGAAAAUCAGAGUUAUCAACAUGUUGAUCAUUGUGGCAUUGUUCUUCACUCUCUCUUGGUUGCCCCUGUGGACUUUAAUGCUGCUGACAGACUACGGGAACCUCACUGAGAAUCAACUCAAUCUCAUUACAGUGUAUUUUUUCCCAUUUGCCCAUUGGCUGGCUUUCUUUAACAGUAGUAUUAACCCAAUCAUCUAUGGGUACUUCAAUGAGAACUUCCGGAGAGGAUUCCAAGAGGCCUUCAAAGUCCAGCUCUGCUCCAUGGAAAGGGGACACAAAAACACAUAUUCCAAUAGGAACAAUAGUGGCUUCCUUUUUGGGGCACGUAAUCGGAUUUUUGUUGAAGUUCAAGGCAGUAACUCAGCACAGCCCUCUCAGUCUGGCCAAAGUAGCCUUCUGAGAACAGGGCUGUUCCCAGCGAAGAAUGGGCAGGCAGCUCACCAUGGGCUGAUGGUGGAGGAUUUUGACAGUAAAAGUUGUUCUCCCCAUACUGUCAGUAUCCCAGCUUGGGAUAUCUAAGGAAGUUUGAGAUGCUGACAGAUUGACUUUACCACAUAACUUUACAUUGUUUUCAGAGAAUGUGAACCAAACCCAUCUCCAGUAAGCUUUUUGAGACCAAACCCUUUGUCACUGUAGAUAUCUGAAAGGAUUUGGUAUUUGGGCACUUCCUCUUCUUUUUCUAAUCCCAUUUUUGUUACUUCAGUGUGGCACAGACGUUUUUAUAAAGCAUUGCAAUUUAUAAAUAUAUAUUUUCCCCUCAAAGUCUCAUAUAUCUUCAGAAGGGGCUUCAAAUGAGAUGUUUUUGGGUUUCAGGCCUGUCUUUAAAGGGGAAGCAGACAAAACAGUUAUAUUGAAGUAGACUUCUAAGGAGGAGCACAGUUGACUGUGGCUUCAACUACCUCAUCUGCUGGAGGCUGCUUGUUAUGCUACCUAAGUCAUAAAAACAAGUUACUAAGUCUCCUUAGGAAUCUUAGAUGACAGAGUCUGUGAACAUCUUUUUGAAAGUCCAGGCAUAUCAUACCUGUUGGAUUACCCCUACCUACAUGAUGAUGGCACACUCAAAAAAUUCUUGAAGGGUAGUGAGGGAGUGUUCCUUUAUUUUAUUUUUCGAUGAUGACUUCAAAGUUUUAGCCUGCCUUUCAAGCUCUCAAGCUCCCAGAGUGGCUCAUUGUUCUUUAAUUGUUCCACCUAAAGAGGAGAUGACAAACUGAUUUCUUUUCAAGAAGGGAUGCAGCUCUAUAGCAUGAAGUUGUGAGAUGACCAGCAGCUUUUUGGCAGCAGCUUGAUCUACAGAUGUCAGGAGGUGAAAUUUUGCAGCACUACUACAUGCUAAUGGUUGAAGAUCAAGCUUCUGUUAAAGGCACAGAGACAGGCACUUUUUUCAAAAAGCUGGUAGCUUCACUUAUUUCACUCAUGCCUCAUAUCCAUUAUUAAACCCACAUUUCAAAGAAUAAAACCACCAAGAAAAUGGAGUGUGUGCACUUUUGAAUGAGAAAGUCUCAAAGACAUACCCCAGUAGAGAAUUCAUUUGCUGAAUCAAAGUGUCUGCUGCCUAUAUUGGUCCAUUGUCUUCCACUGUACACUGUGAGUAAAGAUUCCUUAGUGGAACUCUGAACUGCCUUUUAAGUAAUUAGUUGUCCUGUGUUGUAAAAGUGGCGAUGUGGCUAUUACACAGUU